rnacentral:rRNA from 1 species
GUUGUAUGGUUAAGUGACUAAGCGUACACGGUGGAUGCCUUGGCAGUCAGAGGCGAUGAAAGACGUAGUAACUUGCGAUAAGCCCAGAUUAGGUAGUAACAACCAUUUGAGUCUGGGAUUUCUGAAUGGGGAAACCCACGUGCAUAAGCACGUAUCCUUACCUGAAUACAUAGGGUAAGGAGGCGAACCGGGGGAACUGAAACAUCUAAGUACCCCGAGGAAAAGAAAUCAACCGAGAUUCCGAAAGUAGCGGCGAGCGAAAUUGGACUAGCCCUUAAGCUUUACACGCGUUAGACGAACGGUCUGGAAAGUCCGACGAUACAGGGUGAUAGUCCCGUAGUUGACGACGUGUGUUCAGUGAAAUCGAGUAGGGCGGGACACGUGAUAUCCUGUCUGAAUAUGGGGGGACCAUCCUCCAAGGCUAAAUACUACUGACUGACCGAUAGUGAACCAGUACCGUGAGGGAAAGGCGAAAAGAACCCCUGUGAGGGGAGUGAAAUAGAACCUGAAACCGUGUACGUACAAGCAGUAGGAGCAGGCUUUGUCCUGUGACUGCGUACCUUUUGUAUAAUGGGUCAGCGACUUAUAUUCAGUGGCAAGGUUAACCAUCUAGGGGAGCCGUAGGGAAACCGAGUCUUAACUGGGCGUUCAGUCUCUGGAUAUAGACCCGAAACCAGGUGAUCUAGCCAUGGGCAGGUUGAAGGUUGAGUAACAUCAACUGGAGGACCGAACCGACUAAUGUUGAAAAAUUAGCGGAUGACUUGUGGCUAGGGGUGAAAGGCCAAUCAAACCUGGAGAUAGCUGGUUCUCCCCGAAAGCUAUUUAGGUAGCGCCUCGGACGAAUACUACUGGGGGUAGAGCACUGUUAAGGCUAGGGGGUCAUCCCGACUUACCAACCCUUUGCAAACUCCGAAUACCAGUAAGUACUAUCCGGGAGACACACGGCGGGUGCUAACGUCCGUCGUGGAGAGGGAAACAACCCAGACCGCCAGCUAAGGUCCCAAAUUACUACUAAGUGGGAAACGAUGUGGGAAGGCUCAGACAGCCAGGAUGUUGGCUUAGAAGCAGCCAUCAUUUAAAGAAAGCGUAAUAGCUCACUGGUCGAGUCGGCCUGCGCGGAAGAUGUAACGGGGCUAAGUAGUAAACCGAAGCUGCGGCAAUAUACUUUUGUAUAUUGGGUAGGGGAGCGUUCUGUAAGCGGUUGAAGGUGUGUGGUAACGCAUGCUGGACGUAUCAGAAGUGCGAAUGCUGACAUGAGUAACGAUAAAGGGGGUGAAAAACCUCCUCGCCGGAAGACCAAGGGUUCCUGUCCAACGUUAAUCGGGGCAGGGUAAGUCGACCCCUAAGGCGAGGCCGAAAGGCGUAGUCGAUGGGAAACGGGUUAAUAUUCCCGUACUUCUUACAAUUGCGAUGGGGGGACGGAGAAGGCUAGGUGGGCCUGGCGACGGUUGUCCAGGUUCAAGUGCGUAGGCUUAAGAGUUAGGUAAAUCCGGCUCUUUUUAAGGCUGAGACACGACGUCGAGCACCUACGGGUGUGAAGUCAUUGAUGCCAUGCUUCCAGGAAAAGCCUCUAAGCUUCAGAUUGUAAGGAAUCGUACCCCAAACCGACACAGGUGGUCGGGUAGAGAAUACCAAGGCGCUUGAGAGAACUCGGGUGAAGGAACUAGGCAAAAUGGUACCGUAACUUCGGGAGAAGGUACGCUCUCGACGGUGAAGUCCCUCGCGGAUGGAGCUAUUGAGAGUCGCAGAUACCAGGUGGCUGCAACUGUUUAUUAAAAACACAGCACUGUGCAAAAUCGUAAGAUGACGUAUACGGUGUGACGCCUGCCCGGUGCCGGAAGGUUAAUUGAUGGGGUUAGACUUCGGUCGAAGCUCUUGAUCGAAGCCCCGGUAAACGGCGGCCGUAACUAUAACGGUCCUAAGGUAGCGAAAUUCCUUGUCGGGUAAGUUCCGACCUGCACGAAUGGCGUAAUGAUGGCCACGCUGUCUCCACCCGAGACUCAGUGAAAUUGAAAUCGCUGUGAAGAUGCAGUGUACCCGCGGCUAGACGGAAAGACCCCGUGAACCUUUACUACAGCUUGGCACUGAACAUUGACCCUACAUGUGUAGGAUAGGUGGGAGGCUUUGAAGCACGUACGCCAGUAUGUGUGGAGCCGUCCUUGAAAUACCACCCUUGUAGUGUUGAUGUUCUAACGUCGACCCCUUAUCGGGGUUGCGGACAGUGCCUGGUGGGUAGUUUGACUGGGGCGGUCUCCUCCCAAAGAGUAACGGAGGAGCACGAAGGUGGGCUAAUCACGGUUGGACAUCGUGAGGUUAGUGCAAUGGCAUAAGCCCGCUUGACUGCGAGAAUGACAAUUCGAGCAGGUGCGAAAGCAGGUCAUAGUGAUCCGGUGGUUCUGAAUGGAAGGGCCAUCGCUCAACGGAUAAAAGGUACUCCGGGGAUAACAGGCUGAUACCGCCCAAGAGUUCAUAUCGACGGCGGUGUUUGGCACCUCGAUGUCGGCUCAUCACAUCCUGGGGCUGAAGUCGGUCCCAAGGGUAUGGCUGUUCGCCAUUUAAAGUGGUACGCGAGCUGGGUUUAGAACGUCGUGAGACAGUUCGGUCCCUAUCUGCCGUGGGCGUUGGAAGAUUGAAGGGGGCUGCUCCUAGUACGAGAGGACCGGAGUGGACGAACCUCUGGUGUUCGGGUUGUGUCGCCAGACGCAUUGCCCGGUAGCUAAGUUCGGAAUCGAUAACCGCUGAAAGCAUCUAAGCGGGAAGCGAGCCCUGAGAUGAGUCUUCCCUGAUACUUUAAGUAUCCUAAAGGGUUGUCGGAGACUACGACGUUGAUAGGUCAGGUGUGUAAGUGCUGUGAGGCAUUGAGCUAACUGAUACUAAUUGCCCGUGAGGCUUAACCAUACAACACCCAAGGGGUUU